rnacentral:rRNA from 1 species
CAUGCAAGUCGAGCGGUAGAGAGAAGCUUGCUUCUCUUGAGAGCGGCGGACGGGUGAGUAAUGCCUAGGAAUCUGCCUGGUAGUGGGGGAUAACGUUCGGAAACGGACGCUAAUACCGCAUACGUCCUACGGGAGAAAGCAGGGGACCUUCGGGCCUUGCGCUAUCAGAUGAGCCUAGGUCGGAUUAGCUAGUUGGUGAGGUAAUGGCUCACCAAGGCGACGAUCCGUAACUGGUCUGAGAGGAUGAUCAGUCACACUGGAACUGAGACACGGUCCAGACUCCUACGGGAGGCAGCAGUGGGGAAUAUUGGACAAUGGGCGAAAGCCUGAUCCAGCCAUGCCGCGUGUGUGAAGAAGGUCUUCGGAUUGUAAAGCACUUUAAGUUGGGAGGAAGGGCAGUUACCUAAUACGUGAUUGUUUUGACGUUACCGACAGAAUAAGCACCGGCUAACUCUGUGCCAGCAGCCGCGGUAAUACAGAGGGUGCAAGCGUUAAUCGGAAUUACUGGGCGUAAAGCGCGCGUAGGUGGUU